rnacentral:lncRNA from 1 species
GAGACACACCACACCAUGAAAUGUUAUCUUUUUUUCCCCUCAACACAAAUAGGUUACCAGAAAAAAGGAAUGUGAAAUGGAGACUGUUAAUAUGGACAUAUCCUAAGAUACAGCAUACCAUUUGAGAAAGUAAAUACACUACACUUUGGCAUGAAGGAAAAUUAACUCUGCCGUGAAUUAGUGAAAACAGGUUUUCUAUCCUGUUCAUCACCAGAAAUAAUCCCUUAACAAAAAACUCUUCCGUAGAUUGUGAAGAUCAGAUCUGAUUCAGAAAGGCAGGGUGGCAGGUAUGCAGAGAAUCAUAUAAUCUAUCUUGAUGAUACAAUUCCACUGAGUCCUGGCUAUAACACUUUCGAUGUCCACAUCACUAGUUGCAGUCCUACAAGCACGGAAGGGUGGAUGCUGUGGGGGGGUCCAGGCAGCUCUGUGGAACAGUCUCCAAUGGGCUAGUAGGAUGAGAAGGUCCAGGGGUAGUUUGGGAAUCGAGGAGAAACAUCACCUCUCAAGACGGUAAACCUACUGAAAAGACUAUUCAAACUCCAGAAGGAC